AGUGAACGCUGGCGGUAGGCCUAACACAUGCAAGUCGAACGGCAGCACAGUAAGAGCUUGCUCUUACGGGUGGCGAGUGGCGGACGGGUGAGGAAUACAUCGGAAUCUACUUUUUCGUGGGGGAUAACGUAGGGAAACUUACGCUAAUACCGCAUACGACCUACGGGUGAAAGCAGGGGAUCUUCGGACCUUGCGCGAUUGAAUGAGCCGAUGUCGGAUUAGCUAGUUGGCGGGGUAACGGCCCACCAAGGCGACGAUCCGUAGCUGGUCUGAGAGGAUGAUCAGCCACACUGGAACUGAGACACGGUCCAGACUCCUACGAGAGGCAGCAGUGGGGAAUAUUGGACAAUGGGCGCAAGCCUGAUCCAGCCAUACCGCGUGGGUGAAGAAGGCCUUCGGGUUGUAAAGCCCUUUUGUUGGGAAAGAAAAGCAGCAGGUUAAUACCCCGCUGUUCUGACGGUACCCAAAGAAUAAGCACCGGCUAACUUCGUG
rnacentral:rRNA from 1 species